rnacentral:rRNA from 1 species
UACAGGGGGUGCAAACGUUGCUCGGAAUUAUUGGGCGUAAAGCGCGCGUAGGCGGCUUCUUAAGUCGGAUGUGAAAGCCCUUGGCUCAACUGAGGAAGUGCACCCGAAACUGAGUGGCUAGAGUACGAAAGAGGGUCGCGGAAUUCCCGGUGUAGAGGUGAAAUUCGUAGAUAUCUGGAGGAAUACCGGUGGCGAAGGCGGCUACCUGGACCGGUUCUGACGCUGAGGCGCGAAAGCGUGGGUAGCAAACAGG